rnacentral:rRNA from 1 species
UACGGAGGGAGCUAGCGUUAUUCGGAAUUACUGGGCGUAAAGCGCACGUAGGCGGCUUUGUAAGUAAGAGGUGAAAGCCCAGAGCUCAACUCUGGAAUUGCCUUUUAGACUGCAUCGCUUGAAUAAUGGAGAGGUCAGUGGAAUUCCGAGUGUAGAGGUGAAAUUCGUAGAUAUUCGGAAGAACACCAGUGGCGAAGGCGGCUGACUGGACAUGUAUUGACGCUGAGGUGCGAAAGCGUGGGGAGCAAACAGG